UGCAGUCGACGCACUGACGUCGACCGAAGCUGCUUGCAGUGGACGUUGAUUGACGUGAGUGGCGGACGGGUGAGUAACACGUGGGUAACCUACCCUUAAGUGGGGGAUAACAUUUGGAAACAGAUGCUAAUACCGCAUAACCAUUCAGACCACAUGGUCUGAAUGUAAAAGACGGCCUUUGGCUGUCACUUUUGGACGGACCCGCGGCGUAUUAGUUAGUUGGUAAGGUAACGGCUUACCAAGACAAUGAUACGUAGCCGACCUGAGAGGGUAAUCGGCCACAUUGGGACUGAGACACGGCCCAAACUCCUACGGGAGGCAGCAGUAGGGAAUCUUCCACAAUGGACGAAAGUCUGAUGGAGCAACGCCGCGUGAGUGAAGAAGGUUUUAGGAUCGUAAAACUCUGUUGUUGGAGAAGAACAGGGACUAGAGUAACUGUUAGUCCUUUGACGGUAUCCAACCAGAAAGCCACGGCUAACUACGUGCCAGCAGCCGCGGUAAUACGUAGGUGGCAAGCGUUGUCCGGAUUUAUUGGGCGUAAAGCGAGCGCAGGCGGUUUUUUAAGUCUGAUGUGAAAGCCUUCGGCUUAACCGAAGAAGUGCAUUAGAAACUGGGAAACUUGAGUGCAGAAGAGGACAGUGGAACUCCAUGUGUAGCGGUGAAAUGCGUAGAUAUAUGGAAGAACACCAGUGGCGAAGGCGGCUGUCUGGUCUGUAACUGACGCUGA
rnacentral:rRNA from 2 species